CAGUAGCCGCGGGAAUACGGAGGGUGCAAGCGUUAAUCGGAAUUACUGGGCGUAAAGCGCACGCAGGCGGUUUGUUAAGUCAGAUGUGAAUCCCCGAGCUUAACUUGGGAACUGCAUCUGAAACUGGCAAGCUAGAGUCUUGCAGAGGGGGGUAGAAUUCCAGGUGUAGCGGUGAAAUGCGUAGAUAUCGGAAGGAACACCUGUGGCGAAAGCGGCUCACUGGACAAUAACUGACGCUGAUGCACGAAAGCUAGGGGAGCAAACAGGAUUAGAUACCCCAGUAGUCCCUGUCUCUUAUACA
rnacentral:rRNA from 1 species